AUGACCAGGUUCUGGACAAUGAGACAUAAGCAAAAAUGUGUAGUAUUUCCAGGAAGGUUGUUUAAGGGACUCAGCUCCACUUUUUCUACUUUGCCUUUCCUUUUUCCUUCCAAGGACAUGUGGACUGGUGCUCCAGCAGCCAUUUUGGACCAUGAAGUGACCUUGGGAAUGAAAGCUAAGGAUAAUGGAGCAAAAACAUUGAAGCCUGGAUUCCCGAAGAUACCGGAGAGCUGCCAUGCCACCCCUGGAUGGCCUGCUUCCCAAAUUUCUUUUAUGUUUAUCAACAAGAACAAUAAAGAAGCUCAUGGUCUAACAGAGGAAACAGACAAGUGAACAGAGACAUGAAGGCAAGAGAGAACAGAGUCAGGUGGGAUGCAACUCUUUCUUUGUGGUGUUACUAUAAGAAAGUUCUAGAACUGCUGGAAGCCCUUCUGUGGCUCCCUUCAGAGCUCCUAAGGAUUGCUUUUCUGGGCCCCUUUA
rnacentral:lncRNA from 1 species